CCUUUUCUCUCCUUCUUUUCUUCUGACCGGAUUGUUUAAUACAAGGAAUUUUGAUGCUUAGAAUUAAUAAUGAAAUUUCCUCCUUUGAAGAAACCUAAUUAGAUUCUGACAGUCAGCAGAACCUUUUUUAAAAACUA